rnacentral:lncRNA from 1 species
AGGCGACAGGAGGCCUAGCCGGCAGCCUACAAAUCAGAACCUAAUAACUUCCAGACUCCAACUAUAAAGGAAGACAAAAAAAGGAGACCCCAAGAUAAGCCAUUACUCUGCCUCUCAUGCUCCUCUCUCUAUGAAACGAAAUACUGAUUUGAGCAUCGGAGGGUUCUUAUCGGAGCAGCCUCCGAUCGAGACUUUUUCUUACAGGUUUUCCUCCAAAGCGUAUCGAUCUCAGCCAUCUUCACCUUCUCCGGCGCCGGUCGAUAUCUCGCACCAAUAAAUUUCAUCAGUAAUCUUCUCAUCAUAUGAUCUCAUUUGACUAACAAUUUCAGUAGCUCUAGACAAAAAAUCUUGCACUGAUUCAUUAUUUUUUACAAACAAUGUUUCAAAAUCACGAUGAAGAAAUUGAAGUUUCACAAUAAUUACCUUAGAGGAACUUUGAAACUCCUACAAUAUUGUCCCAGCUACUUUUGAAGUAAAUACUG